GCUCAGGGUAUCGGGAUCGCUCACUAUGUGGCCUUGACUCUUUAAGAAUUCCCACACCUGCUCCAAGUACCCGCCGAGCUAUGGAGGAGGCUGCCACAACAACCUCUGCUACAAAGUCCCCUCUUCUCACCAGAUUACCAUUACGAAGAUCCCAUCAUCACUAAAACGGAUGAGAUGAAUGAAGUGGAGAUUUCACAGGUUGCAGAGCAGAAGCUGGUGUGGUUCUACCCUCUGGAAAGCAAGGCCAGCAAACCCAUCAAGCCCAAGAAAGUCGUCCCAGAGUCCUACAUGAGCAAGACAGCCUCUUUUUUCCUUAACUCCUAUAAAUUUCUAUGGGAAGAGGUGUAGAAAGUGAUGAGGAGGCUCAGGGAAAAAGUAACAGGGAGGAUGUUUGAGUGGAGGGGGAGGAAAUCUGUGUGAAAAUUCAUUGUUCAUUAGAGCAGAAGCCUACCAGAAGUGGAAAGAAAAGCUUUCAAAAGCCACUCGUGCCUUCUGCAUAUAAUCUGCUAUAGUUAUUUGUUCUUUUAAGCCAUCUCAAGGAGGUAUCAAUGAACCAAAGGUCCUCUGAUCAGUAAUCAAUUUAAGAUAUAUUGGUUUUAUUUUCCAUUCACAAUGCUUCACACUCAGCAGUUUACCCUUGGCAGGUUUUCUGGGUUUUUUAGUUUGCUUCUUUCUUAUUUCUUGCUUGGGGAAGAUUUUUGAAGAUAUUUGUGGAGCUGGUAGUACUUCCUCAGUUGUUUUCUGCCUGUUGUUAAUUAAAAGAGACUUAUUGUGAAAACAAGGUGAGGGAAGCCAAUGCAUCCUUUUCAAGUUUAUCUUCCAGCAUCUCAAGAGUCUGUAAUUAAAUAGAGUAUGAGAGCUCCGGCUUGCAGACAUCAGGCUGUACAUCAAAGCCUUCAACUGUCAGAUGUUUCUUCCUUGCUAAUAUUUCCGAAGACACCUGUCUCAGGUGAAGGACUAAAGAAGCACAAACUGCUCCAGGCUAAGAUUUUAUCAUGCUGCACCAAAGACCUCCAGGAAAGAUGCAUGGUGGCUGCUCAUUUUCAUAUCUCAAGAGCAAUCUCUUUCCUUUUUAAAAUACUUCUUUAUUUUUUCUCCUCAGCACAAGUCAUAACAUGUGAAACCAAGAUAAAUGCAGAAGCUCAACAUGCAACAGGUAUUUGUGCCCAGCUGGCUACUUGUACAGUAAGGGAAAGAUCUUUGGAACAUUUUAUUAUGAAAGUUCAUCAAGCAUAUGCUGUGCUGCAAUUCAUUAUGGCAUCCUAGAUAAUAAAGGAGGACUGGUUGAUAUCACGAGGAAGGGAAGGAUACUGGCUUUUGUGAAGUCUACCUGGAAUGGUGUGGAGUCUUUUAGAUAUGACUUGCUGAGGGGGUUGGCUUGAGAAAGGACGCCUGUGGCACCGGAGCGGAGCCGGGGGAGAUCAGUG